GACGAACGCUGGCGGCGUGCUUAACACAUGCAAGUCGAACGAUGAAGCCCAGCUUGCUGGGUGGACUAGAGUCGAACGGGGGAGUAACACGUGAGUAACCUGCGCUUGACUCUGGGAUAAGCCUGGGAAACUGGGUCUAAUACUGGAGAUGACUUCUCAUCGCAUGGUGGGGGGUGGAAAGAUUUAUUGGUCUUGGAUGGACUCGCGGCUUAUCAGCUUGUUGGUGAGGUAAUGGCUCACCAAGGCGACGACGGGUGGCCGGCCUGAUAGGGUGACCGGCCACACUGGGACUGAGACACGGCCCAGACUCCUACGGGAGGCAGCAGUGGGGAAUAUUGCAUAAUGGGCGGAAGCCUGAUGCAGCAACGCCGCGUGAGGGAUGACGGCCUUCGGUUUGUAAACCUCUUUCAGUAGGGAAGAAGCGAGAGUGACGGUACCUGCUAAAGAAGCGCCGGCUAACUACGUG
rnacentral:rRNA from 1 species